UGCCAGCCGCCGCGGUAAUACGGAGGGUCCGAGCGUUGUCCGGAAUUAUUGGGUUUAAAGGGUGCGUAGGCGGCCUUGUAAGUCAGUGGUGAAAUUUCACGGCUCAACUGUGAAAGUGCCAUUGAAACUACUUGGCUUGAGUACUGUAGAGGCAGGCGGAAUUCCUGAUGUAGCGGUGAAAUGCACAGAUAUCAGGAGGAACACCGAGAGCGAAGGCAGCUUGCCGGACAGUAACUGACGCUGAGGCACGAAAGCGUGGGGAGCGAACAGGAUUAGAUA
rnacentral:rRNA from 1 species